GGCAUCCUACGGGGGGCAGCAGUGAGGAAUAUUGGUCAAUGGGCGGAAGCCUGAACCAGCCAAGUCGCGUGAGGGAAUAAGGCUUUCGGGUUGUAAACUUCUUUUAAGAGGGAAGAGCAGAAGACGGUACCUCUUGAAUAAGCCACGGCUAACUACGUGCCAGCAGCCGCGGUAAUACGUAGGUGGCAAGCGUUGUCCGGAUUUACUGGGUGUAAAGGGCGUGCAGCCGGGAAGACAAGUCAGAUGUGAAAUCCCGCGGCUCAACCGCGGAACUGCAUUUGAAACUGUUUUUCUUGAGUACCGGA
rnacentral:rRNA from 1 species